UCUCAGCCGCUCUUUAAUCAGGAAACCCUCCAGCAGCGUCUCCAGGUCUUGAUCGAGGGGGCUAGGGAGAGCUGGACCUACGCUAUCUUCUGGCAAUCGUCUGACGAUUACUCCGGUGCAUCGGUGUUGGGGUGGGGUGAUGGGUAUUACAAAGGAGAGGAGGAUAAGGGUAAAGGGAAAUCUAAGACUCCUAGCUCCUCAGUUGCUGACCAGGAGCACCGAAAGAAGGUGCUUCGUGAGCUCAAUUCGCUGAUCUCAGGUCCCACCGCCGUCACCGACGAUGCGGUUGAUGAAGAAGUCACUGAUACUGAGUGGUUCUUUCUUAUCUCCAUGACUCAGUCAUUUGUUAAUGGAAGUGGGUUGCCGGGUCA
rnacentral:misc_RNA from 1 species